rnacentral:rRNA from 1 species
AGAUUAAGUUAUUAAGGGCGCACGGUGGAUGCCUUGGCACUAGAAGCCGAUGAAGGACGUUACUAACGACGAUAUGCUUUGGGGAGCUGUAAGUAAGCGUUGAUCCAGAGAUUUCCGAAUGGGGAAACCCAGCAUGAGUUAUGUCAUGUUAUCGAUAUGUGAAUACAUAGCAUAUCAGAAGGCAGACCCGGAGAACUGAAACAUCUUAGUACCCGGAGGAAGAGAAAGAAAAAUCGAUUCCCUGAGUAGCGGCGAGCGAAACGGGAAGAGCCCAAACCAACAAGCUUGCUUGUUGGGGUUGUAGGACACUCUAUACGGAGUUACAAAAGUAUAUAUUAGACGAAUCAUCUGGAAAGUUGAAUCAAAGAAGGUAAUAAUCCUGUAGUCGAAAAUAUAUACUCUCUUGAGUGGAUCCUGAGUACGACGGAGCACGUGAAAUUCCGUCGGAAUCUGGGAGGACCAUCUCCUAAGGCUAAAUACUCUCUAGUGACCGAUAGUGAACCAGUACCGUGAGGGAAAGGUGAAAAGUACCCCGGAAGGGGAGUGAAAGAGAACUUGAAACCGUGUGCUUACAAGUAGUCAGAGCCCGUUAAUGGGUGAUGGCGUGCCUUUUGUAGAAUGAACCGGCGAGUUACGAUUUGAUGCAAGGUUAAGCAGCUAAUGUGGAGCCGUAGCGAAAGCGAGUCUGAAUAGGGCGUUUAGUAUUUGGUCGUAGACCCGAAACCAGGUGAUCUACCCUUGGUCAGGUUGAAGUUCAGGUAACACUGAAUGGAGGACCGAACCGACUUACGUUGAAAAGUGAGCGGAUGAACUGAGGGUAGCGGAGAAAUUCCAAUCGAACUUGGAGAUAGCUGGUUCUCUCCGAAAUAGCUUUAGGGCUAGCCUCAAGUGAUGAUUAUUGGAGGUAGAGCACUGUUUGGACGAGGGGCCCUUCUCGGGUUACCGAAUUCAGACAAACUCCGAAUGCCAAUCAAUUUAACUUGGGAGUCAGAACAUGGGUGAUAAGGUCCGUGUUCGAAAGGGAAACAGCCCAGACCACCAGCUAAGGUCCCAAAAUAUAUGUUAAGUGGAAAAGGAUGUGGCGUUGCCCAGACAACUAGGAUGUUGGCUUAGAAGCAGCCAUCAUUUAAAGAGUGCGUAAUAGCUCACUAGUCGAGUGACACUGCGCCGAAAAUGUACCGGGGCUAAACAUAUUACCGAAGCUGUGGAUUGUCCGUAGGACAAUGGUAGGAGAGCGUUCUAAGGGCGUCGAAGCAUGAUCGCAAGGACAUGUGGAGCGCUUAGAAGUGAGAAUGCCGGUGUGAGUAGCGAAAGACGGGUGAGAAUCCCGUCCACCGAUUGACUAAGGUUUCCAGAGGAAGGCUCGUCCGCUCUGGGUUAGUCGGGUCCUAAGCUGAGGCCGACAGGCGUAGGCGAUGGAUAACAGGUUGAUAUUCCUGUACCACCUAGUAUCGUUUUAAUCGAUGGGGGGGACG